rnacentral:rRNA from 1 species
UGGCCUCAAAUCAGGUAGGACUACCCGCUGAACUUAAGCAUAUCAAUAAGCGGAGGAAAAGAAACUAACAAGGAUUCCCUUAGUAACGGCGAGUGAACCGGGAAAAGCUCAAAUUUGAAAUCUGGCUGUCUUCGAUAGUCCGAGUUGUAAUCUAUAGAAGUGUUUUCCGUGCUGAACUGUGUCUAAGUCCCUUGGAACAGGGUAUCAAAGAGGGUGACAAUCCCGUACUUGACACAAUCAUCAGUGCUCUGUGAUACACUUUCUACGAGUCGAGUUGUUUGGGAAUGCAGCUCAAAAUGGGUGGUAAAUUCCAUCUAAAGCUAAAUAUUGGCGAGAGACCGAUAGCGAACAAGUACCGUGAGGGAAAGAUGAAAAGCACUUUGGAAAGAGAGUUAAACAGUACGUGAAAUUGUUGAAAGGGAAACGAUUGAAGUCAGUCGUGUUCAUUGGAUUCAGCUAGUUCUUCUAGUCUACUUCCUUUGAACGGGUCAACAUCAGUUUUGUCCGGUGGAUAAAGGCAGUAGGAAUGUGGCUUCUUCGGAAGUGUUAUAGCCUAUUGUCACAUACACUGGAGGAGACUGAGGACUGCAGCUCGCCUUUUGGCCGGGGUUCGCCCACGUUCGAGCUUAGGAUGUUGACAUAAUGGCUUUAAACGACCCGUCUUGAAACACG